UACGGGGAGGCAAGCGUUAAUCGGAAUUACUGGGCGUAAAGCGCGCGUAGGUGGUUUGAUAAGCGAGAUGUGAAAGCCCCGGGCUUAACCUGGGAACGGCAUUUCGAACUGUCAGGCUAGAGUAUGGUAGAGGGUGUGUGGAAUUUCCUGUGUAGCGGUGAAAUGCGUAGAUAUAGGAAGGAACACCAGUGGCGAAGGCGGCUACCUGGACCAAUACUGACACUGAGGUGCGAAAGCGUGGGGAGCAAACAGGAUUAGAUACCCCGCUA
rnacentral:rRNA from 1 species